AGUGGCAGACGGGUGAGUAAUGUAUAGGAAUCUACCUAGUAGUACGGGAUAAUUGUUGGAAACGGCAACUAAUACCGUAUACGCCCUACGGGGGAAAGAUUUAUCGCUAUUAGAUGAGCCUAUAUUAGAUUAGCUAGUUGGUAAGGUAAUGGCUUACCAAGACAAUGAUCUAUAGCUGAUCUGAGAGGAUGAUCAGCCACACUGGAACUGAGAUACGGUCCAGACUCCUACGGGAGGCAGCAGUGGGGAAUAUUGGACAAUGGGCGAAAGCCUGAUCCAGCUAUGCCGCAUGAGUGAAGAAGGCCUUCGGGUUGUAAAGCUCUUUUAGUGAGGAAGAUAAUGACGGUACUCACAGAAGAAGUCCUGGCUAACCCCGUGCCAGCAGCCGCGGUAAUACGGAGAGGGCUAGCGUUAUUCGGAAUUAUUGGGCGUAAAGGGCGCGUAGGCGGAUUAGUAAGUUAAAAGUGAAAUCCCAAGGCUCAACCUUGGAAUUGCUUUUAAAACUGCUAAUCUAGAGAUUGAAAGAGGAUAGAGGAAUUCCUAGUGUAGAGGUGAAAUUCGUAAAUAUUANGANGAACACCAGUGGCGAA
rnacentral:rRNA from 1 species